GGAAAGUAGAUGAACAAAAAGUAACAAAUUCCCCAAACCUCAGCCCUGUCUUCCUAUCUGUCUCCCAAAUUAAAGAACCAAGAUAUUAAUAGACUGAAAAAUCAGGUAGGUAAUUCCCUACUAUACAAGUACUCCUUUUUAAAUUUUAAGGCAGUCCAUGUACUAACUCUGAUAUCUCUCCUGUCUUUAUUAUCAGUGUUUCAAAUUUCCAGAAACCAUGACAGAAAAUAAAAGAUAAAUUUCAACUUUCUUUUUUAUUGCUUCCUCUAUUCUAUAUGGUGGGAUGCCAAAAUCUUUCCAGUGAGGAAAGACAGAGCUCUGACUAAUAAAACAUAGGUGGGAGUCAACUGAGCAUUUCUGAGAUAGUCUCUGCUUUCCUGCUGCAGGCAAUGCCUGAU
rnacentral:lncRNA from 1 species